rnacentral:tmRNA from 1 species
GGGGACGCCCCGGUUUCGACGGGGAUCGCUGAGCGGAACGCCGCGAGUCGAGGAUGGUCGUGGGCCUCGUAAAUCAUCGACCAAGCCUUUAACUGGCAACAACAACAGCACCACCUUCGCCCUCGCUGCUUAAGUGAGGCAGUGACCAGGAAGCCCGGCCAUUGGCGUCCUGCGAACUUACAAAAGAUGGCUAGCCUGGGCCGACGCCUCUGAGCACAGGUGAAAUUUAAGAGGCUGGGCUGGACGGAAGCGUGUUUCUGCGCGUCCCAGAGCCGAGAUCCAAAUCAGAAACUACACUCGUAGAAGCUACCGUAACGGGUUCUCGGACGAGGGUUCGACUCCCUCCGUCUCCACCA